rnacentral:misc_RNA from 1 species
GAACUGCGAUAAGUAAUGUGAAUUGCAGAAUUCAGUGAAUCAUCGAGUCUUUGAACGCACAUUGCGCCCCCUGGUAUUCCGGGGGGCAUGCCUGUCCGAGCGUCAUUGCUGCCCCUCAAGCACGGCUUGUGUGUUGGGCUUCCGUCCCUGGCAACGGGGACGGGCCCAAAAGGCAGUGGCGGCACCAUGUCUGGUCCUCGAGCGUAUGGGGCUUUGUCACCCGCUCCCGUAGGUCCAGCUGGCAGCUAGCCUCGCAACCAAUCUUUUUAACCAGGUUGACCUCGGAUCAGGUAGGGAUACCCGCUGAACUUAAGC